AGCUCCAAUAGCGUAUAUUAAAGUUGUUGCAGUUAAAAUGCUCGUAGUUGAAGUUAAGCAGAAGAUCCAUUUGUGAUUGUCAUUCGUGCAGUCUAUCUGGGACUUUCGCUAUGAGGUGUGUUGAUGUCCUUCACUGGGCAUUCCAAUUCGCCCAUUUUACUUUGAGAAACAUAGGGUGUUCCAAGCAUGUUUACGGCGUGUAUAUUCCAGCAUGGAAUAAAUGGCUUAGACUUCAGGUUUUGCUUUUGGUUCGCGGAACUGAAGUAAUGGGUUAAUAGGGAUAGUCGGGGGCAUUGGUAUUUAACUGUCAGAGGUGAAAUUCUUAGAUUUGUUAAGGACUAACUACUGCGAAAGCAUUUGCCAAGGAUGUCUCCA
rnacentral:rRNA from 1 species